rnacentral:rRNA from 1 species
GACCUGGCUCAGGACGAACGCUGGCGGCAUGCCUAACACAUGCAAGUCGAACGGAGAUUAUUUCGAUAAUCUUAGUGGCGAACGGGUGAGUAACGCGUGGGCAACCUGCCCUCUAGAUGGGGACAACAUCCCGAAAGGGGUGCUAAUACCGAAUGUGACAGCAAUCUCGCAUGAGGAUGCUGUGAAAGAUGGCCUCUAUUUAUAAGCUAUCGCUAGAGGAUGGG